rnacentral:rRNA from 1 species
CAUUUCUGAGCGCAAGAUGCGCUGGCAUGGUCUCUAAGGAGGGCCGUGCUGGGCUAGCCCAGAAAGUUUGUCCACCGAGCCGAGAGCUAGCAUGUGUCCUGGAGUAGCAGCAAUGCAUUGCAGGUGAUCUCUCUCUAGGACCCCUCUCAUCUCGGGAGUACCUUUGUGGCAUCAUGUGCACUCAUAUAUUUCCCCCUCCUUCUCACUCUCUUCCAACCCACCCCAUCGUGAACCACCGCGCGAAAGUCAGUAAAGGGGUGCACCCUCCGGGAAGCCUCCGAAAGCUUUGCGAAACCUACAUACCCGUAUGCAAGUCUCAGAAUGUACGUGUUGCGCUCCGUCGCAAACAAAAAUACAACUUUCAGCAACGGAUCUCUUGGCUCUCGCAUCGAUGAAGAACGCAGCGAAAUGCGAUAAGUAAUGUGAAUUGCAGAAUCCAGUGAAUCAUCGAAUCUUUGAACGCACCUUGCACCCCUUGGUAUUCCGAGGGGUACGCCUGUUUGAGUGUCGUGAAUUCCCUCCACUCGACCGCUUUGCUGCGUGUCGGGCUGGGAUGUUGGGGGUGUUUUGCAGGUCCCUUUCGAGGUCUGCUCCCCUUGAAUGCAUUAGUGAGGUUCGGCGCUCGGCCUCGACGUGAUAAGCCUAUCUACGUCGUGUCCGGUGCUUUGUUUGUCCUGGUCAGCCAGGGAAAAACGGGACUUUGCUUCCAACCGUCUUCGGACAAACCGUGCGCUCGCGUACGACCUUCGAACUCGACCUCAAAUCAGGUGGGACUACCCGCUGAACUUAAGCAUAUCAAUAAGCGG